CCCACCUUAUCUCUUCUCAUCCCUCUCCUCCGUUCUCCCUCCCCCGGCUGCUCUCUCCUCUUUACCGUCACUCAAAUUUCUACUGCUGCUCGAGCUCAAUUCUGCCGACGGCAACGGAGGGCGCAGCGGUGAGAGAGGCGUCGUCGAGCGCUGCGCAGGCUGAGAGGUCGAGCGCAGUGAGGGCCAGGAAGGUAAGCAGGACCUGGGCAGCGGCUUGCGGCGGAGCGGAUGCGCCGCGCUGUGCGACUCGGCCUCGGCACGCCCGAAGGCGCGGCUAGCAAGGCGGCCCGACUUGCAGUCCCGCGGGUCGCGCGUGCUCGGCAGCGCGUGCGCGAGCAGGUCCAGCGACAUCGCGUCCAUGCCGGCGUCGCCGCCGGUGGAGCUACCGGAGGAGUCGUGGCAGAGAACCCCCGCACCAGCGUACCCAACCCUAGCACAAUUUCCCAUCGCAUCUCUCCUCUUUCUCUCUCCCCGCCGCCGCCGCACCAUGGUGCUCGCUGCGCUCGCCUCCCUACUCGCCGCCGUCAUUGGUGCGUGGGCCGUGGGGUGCCCCACGAGCUCGCCGCAGUUGCUGGAGCGCUCCUCCAUCCACCUACUGCGUGGCGCUCCCUGAGGAGGCUUGGGACGCGGCUCCGGCGCCCCCGCCGAGGUCAAGCAUGGUGGCGCCCCAGGGGGGGUGCAGCUUUAGAUGGAUCCAUGGUGUGGACGUGCUAUUGAUUCGUGAGGAUCUCGGCGUCCACGAGAUCUCGACAUAGUGGCACCCUCGGCUCCGGCCUUCUUUGCCAUGGCCAUGAAGGAUCAGACAUCGAUGGGGGUGGGGAUCUGGUGUUCGGCAAAAUCAUAUCUCAGCGAGAAAUAUGGCCUUGGCCUGGCUUUGCCCCCUCGAUCUGUGAUGAUUAGUGGUAUUUGCAUUGCUGCAUUCUGGAUAAGGAUCUGCAUUGCUGCAUUCUUGGAUGUAUGGUGGCAAGGAGAUCCUGUAUUUCUCUCAUGUGCCCUCAACACACCAUCCCAUCUUCUCUCAUCCCCUCCACUUCCUGCGAUCCCUCCAUAGCUUAUGUUCUAUUUCCUGUACAGGUGUGUUACUGACUGUUAUUCUUUCAAUUAAUUUUUUAGGAUGUCAUGCAUAUUUUUUUUAUCUUAGGUCAAUGCAUUUUUUUUAAUGUAGGCACUCUUCCAUUGCUCUGUUUAUUCAAAUAAACUGCUUAAUAGAUUAGCUGUGGAAUUUUUAUUCCCUCAUAUACGAUAUCCAGUGACAUGGUUGGACAGUGCUAUUGGAAUGUAGCUAAAUAAUGUUUGCUGUCCUCACCGUGGAAGCUGGUAAUACAUCAGUUGUUCAUAGUUUCUAUCUUGACUCGUGCUAAUGCAUAACUGUUCCAUUUUUUAUUUUAAGAAUCCUAUGUUUACCAAUGCCCAUGUGGUUCAUAUAUAUAUGUUAUUCUGCUUAAUAUUUUCACUCAAGUAGAAUUGCAAUGUAGGGUACAGUUUUGUAGUUAAGGCAAAGUGAAACCAUUUGACUAAUUUGAAGCAAUUUUUUUCAAUGAAAAAUAUUUAAGCAGAAUUCUGGUAGCUGUUAACCACUUGGCCAAUGUUAAUUGUUUAACUGCCACCAUGAGGUAAUACUAAUAAUAAUCUCCUUGCUUAAUCUGAUGUGCAUAGUCCUGUAAACACCUUAGUAAGAUAUCAAGGACAAAACAGCACCCACAUGAUAUAUGUGAAGAAUUAUCCUGUGGCUGCACCCUCAUGUUUGGGCUAUUUGAUCAGCGUGGUUGCUUCUUGCUGGUAACAAGCUACAGGAAACUUGAAUUUUUUGCUUGCAGCACAGCAAGCAGGUUGAGUUAGAUGAACCAUACAAAUUAUCGAGUGGAGAUAGGAUGGUCCCAAUUUUAGACAAAUACCUUUUAUGAGGUGAUGUGCUAACUAGAUAUUUGAUUGAACUUGAGAUGUACAGUGCUUUUGCCCAUGUCGUUUGUUCUUCAUCCAAAUCACGUCUCUCUGCCUAAUGGGCACUGGUUGUGAUUAUUUAUCAUUGGUAUUGUCUUCCUAAUUUUCUCUUCCAGUCUGGUUUCUAUCGGUGCUUCAGGUCUGAUAUUGUCAGUUAGUAUCAGUUACUCACCUGUGUUUAAGCAUUGGUGUUACUACCACAGUGCGUGCCUCAUUUGUUCAUUUAUUUCCACCUCUGCUAAAUAAAAUCUUGCUUGUGCUCUUUUCUUAGAGAUCCUUAAUGUAUCAUUCUAAUGGUUGCAGCUCGAAGACUUGGAUGCUAAGGAGUGUAUUUCCUGAUCCUAAGGACAAGGAAUCAAAGGAUUCUUUUCAUUACUGGUAGAACUUUAGAUGCUUUGUCAAUUCAGGUGUUCUCUGAAAUGUGCUUCCGAAAGAUAUUUUCCAUUGUUAGUAUUGAUGGAUGCUCAAAUGGAGAUCACUGUAAUAGCCAACUUCUCUAUCCAUAUUUAGUAAGUAAUAUUUUUGAGAAAAUACUUGCCACU